UACAGAGACUGCAAGCGUUAUUCGGAUUCACUGGGCGCAAAGGGCGCGCAGGUGGCCAGGUGUGUUAGGCGUGAAAGCCCGGGGCUUAACCCCGGAAUUGCACCUAAAACUACUUGGCUAGAGCAUUGGAGAGGGGAGCAGAAUUCAUGGUGUAGCAGUGAAAUGCGUAGAUAUCAUGAGGAAUACCAGAGGCGAAGGCGGCUCCCUGGACAAUUGCUGACACUCAGGCACGAAAGCGUGGGGAGCAAAAGGG
rnacentral:rRNA from 1 species